CGUGGCUUCCCUCAAGGCCCAGGGUUGGUUUCAAGGCUUUCUGUCCUGUGGUCAUCCAGGGCAAAAAGAGGCUGGCAGGAUGCAACAAGACGCUGAGAAAUGCUGUUCUACCGGACCAUGGGGCUAGGUGCAUGCAUGCAACUCACAUGGCUUACAGAAAAGCCAAGAACAGGCAGCGGGUUCGAAAAGCUUGCCACAGAGUUCGCAGAGAUUCCUCUUGCCUUUUCACGAUGCCAGGUUAUUUUAUUAUGAUUAUGUAAUUAUUCACAUCUACCAAGAACAACAUUCUGCACUUGGAGCACAUCUCUCUUGUGUUGGAUCACAACUGCCCUGAAUUUGUUCUUCCAACCGGGUCCUGUUUAUUGAUGAAAUGGCCCGCGCAAAUGGAGGGACAGAUCAAGGCCCUUCUUUGGUAUUUCGAAGAAGCUGCGGGAGACACGAGAUUUCGGGUGCUUUGGAUCAGCUACAUGGAAGGAGCAGGCACCCAGCCUUCUGCACGGAAACAACAGAGCAGCUUUUGGUGAUCGAGUAAAGGCACUAGAAGAUACUCGAACUACUCAUGAGAUGGGGAAGACCCUUGCCAGAUGAUGGAAUCAUGCUGUUGGACCCUUCAACCUCCAAAACUGUAAGCCAAAUUAUAUUGUUUAUACAUGAUCUCAUUUAUGCUAUUCUGUUACAGCAGCAGAAAAAUAAUCUGACAUAAGGAUCCAUUAAAUUAUCUAUUCUUGACUUGUUUUGUUUUACAACAGGUCCCUUGUAGUCCAGGCUGCCCUCAAAUUAAACUAUGUAGCCAAAGCUAGCCUUGAACUCCUAAUCCCCCGUCCCACCUCCCAAGUGCUGGGAUGCUAUUCUUUAUAACACAAGAUUAGAAAAUUAUUGUGAGUUGUAGAUGUGAUUAGAGCACAAAACAGUAGGAAAAAGUAGCAUAGAUGUAUCAUACAUUUAAUUAAUAAAACAUGUAAUUAUUUUGGAUUUUGUGAUGUUUAUAGCAACUUUUAGCUUUUUAGAGCUUUCAUAUUAUUGUGGGGUUUUUUUUCAUCCUAAAUACCCACUUGUACCUAAUUUUAUGUUUACAAUUUUGUUAUUUUUAUAUAUUCUGCUGCCUCUGCCUGUACAACUUCAUAAACUCAGGCUGCCAAAAGUCAGGUCUGUCACUGCCCUCUAUGUUAAGUUUUAAACUAACAGUUCUGUGUCUCCCCCACCCCCCACCAAUUCUGAAUAUUCCCAGUGUAGGAACUGGGUCUUCACUUCUGGUUUUAUAGUGGGGGAGUGCUGACAUAUUGUAAUCAUGGAAUGAAUGACUGUUGGUUGAACUAAUGAACCAACAAAUGAGUAGAAAAAAAAUAAGGUUGGUGGUUCAUUAGCUAAAGAAGUGAGUGGUCUGGGAGAUAACCUCUCAGAAUUUGAAUGAAUGAGAGAAAGAGUGAAUGAGUCAAAGCAAGAGGUAAAUGUGAGUUCUGAAGUUACUCCUGGAAUAAAAAAGGCGGCCUACAGAUACAGUGAACAUUAAAUGCAAUAAAUAUGCUAGUUGCAAAAUGGGUGCAACAGAAGCAUUGUUCACUUAGCCUUGCUGAGUUUCUCUUAUUCCAUCUAGUAUAGUACUCACUCAGUAGCUACUGGACCAUGGGGGAUUUAGGGAUUUUUCUUUUACAGAUGGAGAAUGCAAGGAUGUUAUAGGGUUAAAUGAAUUAAAGUCUGUGAAAGAAUCUAGCAAAGUAACAUGUACAUAGUAGGUGUAUUUCUCACUUUUCCAGUGAGGUCUGCUAAUUCCCUUUAAAGAGACAGGGUUUCCUCAUUUUCUCAUUCCCUCGUACUUCUCUAAGGAUACAUUUUAUUUUUCUCACCUCGGAAGAAUCCCAUCUUCUUAAAGGGAUAUUCUUCCUUCUUGGGGAUCUCCUCCCUGAAGAUAGAAAAUUUACAAGGCCAGCAUUUGAUUUAGGAAAGGGUCUCAUGACACAGUCACAGCUGGCUUCAAACUCACACUCCUGCCUCAGCUUUCCU